UUCAUAUUUUUGAGAAAUACUGUAGAUUUGGGUUUGUGAUUUAGAAAUUAUGAUAAAAAGAAUAUUUUUGGACAGAUGAGUAUUCUUUCAGAAUUUUUCAUCAAUAUAUUGUAUUUUAAAAAAUAAUUUUCUUAAAAGCUGCUAUUUUUGGAAAGUUUUCAUUUUUUUGAGAAAUAUUGUAGAUUUGGGUUUGUGAUUUAGAAAUUAGUAUAACAAGAAUAUUUGUGGAUAGAUGAGUGCUCUUUAAGAAUUUUGAAUCAAUAUGUUGUAUUUUUAAAUAAUUUUCUUAAAUGCUGCUAUUUUUGAAAAGUUUUCAUUUUUUGAGAACUUUUAUAGAUUUGAGUUUGUGAUUUAGAAAUUAUGAUAACAAGAAUAGUUGUGGAUAGAUGAGUAUUCUUUGAGAGGUUUUCAUGAAUAAGUUGUAUUUUUAAAUAAUUUUCUUAAAAGCUGCUAUUUUUGGAAAGUUUUCAUUUUUGUGAGAAAUUUUAUAGAUUUGAGUUUGUGAUUUAGAAAUUAGGAUAACAAGAGUAUUAGUGGAUAGAUAAGUAUUCUUUCAGAGUUUUUCAUCAAAAGGUUGUAUUUUUAAAUAAUUUUCAUAAAAAUUGAUAUUUUUGGAAAGUUUUCAUAUUUUUGAGAAAUACUAUAGAUUUGGGUUUGUGAUUUAGAAAUUAUGAUAACAAGAAUAUUUGUGGACAGAUGAGUAUUCUUUCAGAAUUUUUCAUCAAUAUAUUGUAUUUUUAAAUAAUUUUCUUAAUAGCUACUAUUUUUGGAAAGUUUUCAUUUUUUGACAAAUAUUGUAGAUUUGGGUUUGUGAUUUAGAAAUUAGUAUAACAGGAAUAUUUGUGGAUAGAUGAGUGCUCUUUAAUAAUUUUUCAUCAAUAUGUUGUAUUUUUAAAUAUUUUUCUUAAAAAUACAUUUUCGUGUUAUAGUAUUGUAAUUAUAACAAGAAUAUUUGUGGAUAGAUGAGUGUUUC
rnacentral:lncRNA from 1 species